rnacentral:rRNA from 1 species
CAGCCAUCCUUCAAAGAAAGCGUAAUAGCUCACUGAUCGAGUCCUCAUGCGCGGAAGAUGUAACGGGGCUAAGUCUGUAACCGAAAGCGCGGAUUUGUACGCAAGUACAAGUGGUAGGGGAGCGUUCUGUAAGCCUGCGAAGGUGUGUGGUAACGCAUGCCGGAGGUAUCAGAAGUGCGAAUGCUGACAUGAGUAACGAUAAAGCGGGUGAAAAGCCCGCUCGCCGUAAGCCCAAGGUUUCCUGCUCUACGUUCAUCGGAGCAGGGUGAGUCGGCCCCUAAGGCCAGGCUGAGAAGCGUAGCUGAUGGGAAGCAGAUUAAGAUUUCUGCACCGACGUUAAGUGCGAAGGGGGGACGGAGUUUUGAGCAUCAUCCGGGUGUUGGAUGUCCCGGUUUGUGCGUGUAGGAGGCCGGCAGGCAAAUCCGCCGGCAUAUCUCCGAGACAAAGCAUCGAGCUGCAUUUUGCAGUGAAGUGAUGGGAUGAACUUCCAGGAAAAGCCUCUAAGCUAUAGCUUAAUGUCGACCGUACCGUAAACCGACACAGGUGGGCGAGUUGAAUAUACUCAGGCGCUUGAGAGAACUCGGGAGAAGGAACUCGGCAAAUUGACACCGUAACUUCGGGAUAAGGUGUGCCUUUGUAGUGUGAAGAGUGAAACACUCCGAGCAUGAAGAGGUCACAGAGAAUAGGUGGCUGCAACUGUUUACUAAAAACACAGCACUCUGCAAAGACGAAAGUCGACGUAUAGGGUGUGAUGCCUGCCCGGUGCCGGAAGAUUAAGUGAUGGGGUGAGAGCUCCUGAUCGAAGUCCCGGUAAACGGCGGCCGUAACUAUAACGGUCCUAAGGUAGCGAAAUUCCUUGUCGGGUAAGUUCCGACCUGCACGAAUGGCAUAAUGAUGGCCACACUGUCUCCUCCCGAGACUCAGUGAAGUUGAAAUGUUUGUGAUGAUGCAAUCUCCCCGCGGCUAGACGGAAAGACCCCAUGAACCUUUACUGCAGCUUUGCAUUGGACUUUGAACCGAUCUGUGUAGGAUAGGCGGGAGGCAGAGAACCGAGGACGCCAGUCUUUGGGGAGCCGACGUUGAAAUACCGCCCUGAUUUGUUUGAGGUUCUAACCGCGGACAGUAAACCUGUUCCGGGACCGUGCAUGGUAGGCAGUUUGACUGGGGCGGUCUCCUCCUAAAGGGUAACGGAGGAGUACAAAGGUACGCUAGGUACGGUCGGAAAUCGUGCUGAUAGUGCAAUGGCGCAAGCGUGCUUGACUGCGAGACCGACAAGUCGAGCAGAUGCGAAAGCAGGUCAUAGUGAUCCGGUGGCACUGAAUGGAAGGGCCAUCGCUCAACGGAUAAAAGGUACUCUGGGGAU